rnacentral:rRNA from 1 species
GACGAACGCUGGCGGCGUGCUUAACACAUGCAAGUCGAACGGUGAAGCGCCUUCCUUUUUGGUGGGUGGGGAGGAGAGGCGGACGGGUGAGUAACACGUGAGUAACCUGCACCCUGCUUCAGGAUAACCGCAUUAAAGCGUGGCUAGUACGGGAUAUUCUGGUUCAGUCGCAUGAUGGGUCAGGGAAAGCUGUUGUGUCGGGGGGGGAUGGGCUCGGGGCCGAUCAGCUUGUUGGUGGUGUGAUGGCCUAUCAGGGCGGUGACGGGUAGCCGGCCUGGGAGGGUGGACGGCCACACUGGGAGUGAGACACGGCUGGGACUGCGACAGGAGGCAGCAGCGGGCAAGAGUGCACAGUGGGCGCAAGCGUGAUGCAGCGGCGCCGCGGGAGCGAUGGCGGCCUGCGGGUUGUGAACCUCUUUCGCCAGUGAAGCAGGUCUGCCUGGUGUGUGGGGGGGUUGACGGUAGCUGGAUAAGAAGCGCCGGCUAACUACGUG